rnacentral:rRNA from 1 species
GAGAAAGCCCCCUUCGGGGGGUGAGUAGAGUGGCGAACGGGUGAGUAACGCGUGGGAAACCUGCCCUACAGUGGGGGAUAACACUCCUAACGGGGUGCUAAUACCGCAUACGACCCUCUGGCCGCAUGGCUGGGGGAUGAAAGGUGGCCUCUCCUUGGAAGCUGCCGCUGCAGGAUGGUCCCGCGUCCCAUUAGCUAGUUGGUAGGGUAGCGGCCUACCAAGGCUACGAUGGGUAGCCGGCCUGAGAGGGUGUCCGGCCACACUGGGACUGAGAUACGGCCCAGACUCCUACGGGAGGCAGCAGUCGAGAAGCUUCGGCAAUGGGCGAAAGCCUGACCGAGCGACGCCGCGUGAGCGAUGAAGGCCUUAUUGGUUGUAAAGCUCUGUCAGAUUGGGGAUAAAUACCGGGGAUUAAUACCCCCCGGCGCUGAAGGUACCAUCAGAGGAAGCACCGGCUAACCCCGUGCCAGCAGCCGCGGUAAUACGGAGGGUGCGAGCGUUGUUCGGAAUCACUGGGUAUAAAGGGUGCGUAGGCGGUCUGGUAAGUCAGAGGUGAAAUGUGUCGGCUCAACCGGCAGAUUGCCUCUGAAACUGCGAGGCUUGAGUCCGGAAGAGGAAGGUGGAAUUCCUGGUGUAGCGGUGAAAUGCGUAAAUAUCAGGAGGAAUACCGGUGGCGAAGGCGGCCUUCUGGUCCGGAACUGACGCUGAGGCACGAAAGCUAGGGGAGCGAACGGGAUUAGAUACCCCGGUAGUCCUAGCCGUAAACGAUGGGCACUAUGUGUUGGAGGAGUCUACCCCUUC